rnacentral:rRNA from 1 species
CAGUCGUACCGGCGGAUAAUCAGCCUUUCGGGUGCGAUUCUGUGGGGCGUGAGGAGCUUAACCGCCUUCAUGUUUUGCAUAUUCGUAUACUUUGGGUGUACUUAUUCGUGUGGUAAGUUAACAUCAAUUUUGGUGAUCAUAAAAUGACUAGAGGAAUGUAGCUUCGAUCUCGUAUUGAAGUGUUAUAGCCUUUGGAGAUGUGAUGAUCUGGAUUGAGGAUUGGCAACGGAUACCCUUCGGGGCUACUUGUCUGUUCUCUGAUUGUUGCUCUGGUGCUGAAAGCUUGCUUAUGGCUAUCAG